AUGGAGAAAAGGAGCCUAGCGAAGAAUAUUGGGCUUGAGCUGGAAUGUGAGGUGCUUUCACACCUUAGGGAUGUAGCACUCUCUGGUGCUCACACUCUCGGGGGAAGAGAUCGUCUGGAGAGCUUGGUAUUCGACUACGCUUUGCCAAAUGAUCCUCUGAAGUUUGAUAACUCCUACUUUAUAUGUUGGCAGGACGCGUUCUUUAGAGAUUACGCUGAUUCGCACAAGAAGCUUUCGGAGCUCUACUUUACUGGCAUGGACAUGCAGAGACGAAGCCAAGAGGGCUGUGAGGAGAACUACCACUGUCUUUGCAGUUGCGGUUGCCGUCAUCACCUGCGCUUACAUAUGUUGAUCCAAGAGGACGCUCAAUGUGAUGAGGAUGCAGAUGUACUAUCCAUGCAAGCUGUUACUGGGCCGGCCCAGUUUGGGCUCCCUGCAGGUGAGCCGCCGUGUGCAUCGGCGUCGAUGCGGGCGGCACACAGCCGCGCCGCUCCCCGUGCCGGCCGGAGACUCCCUCCGCCGCCGUGCCCAGGACCUACAAGAAAUGUGGCCGCUUUCCGCUCUCCCCCUUCGGUCUCUCAUUGGAUGGAUUUCGGUCGCGUCACCCCGGUGGAGUGUAGGGUCAGUUCGGGGUCGGUGGGCAAUGGAGAGGAGGCGGCCACCGUGAGAGGAGGGGGAGCACGGGGUUCGCGCAUCGGCGCAUCUCCGUCGCUCCCCACGCCGUAUAAGAGUACAACAGCGGCGGGCGGUAGCGGAGGGGACGCCGGCCGGCUCCUCUGA
rnacentral:rRNA from 1 species